UACGUAGGUGGCAAGCGUUGUCCGGAAUUACUGGGUGUAAAGGGAGCGUAGGCGGGAAGGCAAGUCAGAUGUGAAAUCCACAGGCUUAACCUGUGGCGUGCAUUUGAAACUGUAGUUCUUGAGUGUUGGAGAGGCAGGCGGAAUUCCGUGUGUAGCGGUGAAAUGCGUAGAUAUACGGAGGAACACCAGUGGCGAAGGCGGCCUGCUGGACAAUAACUGACGCUGAUGCUCGAAAGCAUGGGGAUCAA
rnacentral:rRNA from 1 species